AUCUCUGUGGCGCAAUGGAUUGCGCGUUGGACUUCUAAUCCAAAGUCGCGGGUUCGAAUACCACCUGGGAUG